AGAAGAAAAUUUAAGAAGUGGGAGCCAGCAUUUUCAUGUGAUGGCAAUAUUCCAGAAACUGGUGCUCUAGGAUAAACAGUAAAUAAUGUGACAUCCAGUCACAUCUCCUCAGCCUGAAACCAAGCAUCCAAACCUGAGGGUAACAAAUACGAUAUUACCAGAGGUUCCAGGCCUUGGUCAGAAGCAUUCUAGAC